rnacentral:lncRNA from 1 species
CUGCAUCUGAUUCAAACCAGCAUGGGUAGGAAGUGCUGCCUCGAGGGGGGAGGAGUUCAGAUGCAAAUCCAGCUGCCCCCAAGCCUGGGCUAUAAAACUGCUCAGUGGGGGAAGGAGCAAACCAGAUUUGUGAUGUUUGGGUGGAAAGAAGAGGCGUGCAGAGCUUUCUGCAGUGAUUUUUUUUCCACCUGGAUUUAUGCCCUUUGUCUUUCUAUCAUCAUUCAAAUUGCUGGGGUUGCUCUGGGGAAAAGCUUCACAUUUUUUUCUGGCUGGAUUUGUGUGAGUGUGGAGGUGCAUUCUUUCAAACAUCCCUCGCUGUACAAAAAUGUACAGAAACAAUGGUCUCUGCAAGGAGCUAUGUGAAAAGGGAGCAAAUGGGGAGGAUGAAUCACAGUGCUACAGAAUCAUUGAGGUUGGAAAAGACCUCUGUGAUCACCAAGUCCAACCCCAACCCACCCCACCGUGCCCACUGACCACAUCCUUCAAUGCCACAUCUCCAUGGUCACUGAACACCUCCAGGGGCGAUGACUCCACCACGCAGCUGUUUCAGGCAAGCUCCAUCCUGAACCUGAUUUCCUGAGACCAACAAAGGAAAUAACCACUGUGCCCAAGGCUAUUUAAAACUCCCUCUGUGAUGCACAAGUCACACGCGCUCAUGAAAUCACUGCAGACAUUACACGCGAUGUCAUCGCGGCGCCAGCAGAAGGAUGUGGGAGCUCUCCUCGUUGCCUCUCCUCCUUGGACCAACUUCCCACCCAUUUGUCCCGCUGGGCUGCUGCCCUCCAGCAGUGAUAGGGCAGCUGAGGAGCCCAAGUCCUGUUGACUUGCAAGGGGCUUAAAUUGAUACCUCCUGAUCUGCACCACUUCUUCCGAAUGGAGUUUCUCCCUCUUCACAACGUCUCACUCUGCAUUGUCCUCCAGCUCAGGAUGUGCCUCUCAGCCUGCCUUCAGGGAGGAAGACCGAUUAUUCCUGCUUUUAAGAACCACUCCCUAACGAACUCAUGUGUUCUUCCAUUCUGCAUCUGGCUCUCAGAUUGCCUGAGAUCGUUUCCUCCCCCUUCUUGGUAUUUGCAAAUAAAGUAUUUACAGUUGAAUUCGGGUGGCAGCCUGUGUUGCGCCGGGGUGUUUCGGAGGAUGCUGUGGGUCAGCAUGGCCCUGUGCUGCUGCAGGAAGAUGGGACACUGCCACCGCAGCCCCAGAAACCGAGGGGGUCACUGCAAGGCUGUCAGCCACAGCUUGUUACCUGAGCGACGGGCAGGAACAAGGACUGAAAUCAGAGAGCUACACAGAAAAUCUCACUGCGUUCAGAACUGUGGUCUGUCCUGCAUGCUAACUGCUGUCAAUUACUUAUUUUUCGCAUCCUGGGCAUUGACAUCAGCUGACGAUGCUUUGAGAUCUAACCUGAACCAUCCCAACGCGUUCCCCUGCCAUCUGCCCAGAGAGCAGGGAACACCAGUCCAGGAGUCAAUCUUGGGGGGGGUUCAAGAGCAUCCGUGUGCUUGCAUCCGUGGACCACUGUAUCUAGAAACUUUCCCUGCUGGCAGACACACGUCCCUGCUUGGCUCACACACCUGGCACUUCUCCACCCGUCCCCUUCAGCAAAGGUGUUUGAGUUGCUCACGGUGGUACAGCCUUGGUGACAUCGCUGCCAGCUCUGCGACAAGAAGACAGCACUCUGGUGUCCUCCGUCAUGUCAUCCCUAUGGAGCCCAGGGACAAAACUUCAUGAGUCUGGCCAGGAGGAGCAGGAGAGAGCUGAUAACCCCAUCCCUUCCACGUCUUGGGCUUACAGUAACCUCGGAUGCCACGGGGCAAAUUCCGCAGUGCUGCUUAAGGUGCCAUAAUUUAGAGCCUCUCAGCUUUGCUAAGGCUCCCUGAGCACCACGUGCCCCCUGUCUGCUGAUGCAUAAAGUAACCUGAAUCAGUGUAAUUUAUGCACCAAUGAAAAGGUGCAAGCUAAAAUACCUCCCAGCCUAAAAUAGCCUCUAAGUGAGAAGAGGGAGAGGAAGGGGCAUCUUAGCUUUAUGCCCCAUAGAGCACCAGCUCUGAAUUUGGCCCUGGGCCUCAAAGCUUUUAAAAACAGAGUAAUUUUGAUUUGGAGGAGGUCACACGUGCCCUUGUGCACAUCUCCCCUGCUUUAUUUGAGUCCUGGCCCACGCGAGGAGAGCAAGAGCAAGCUGAGGGCUGGCAGAGCUGCAUGCUGGUGCGUGGCAAGCUGAUUUUCCACCUCUUGUUGCUACCCUGCCUGUGUGCAUCUCUGCAAAGCAGAGAUAGAGCAGGGCCAUUCCCCUUGGUAGCAACAAAGCAGCAGCCCCUCCACACGUCAGCAGCUCAGCACGUUCCAUAUGACCGUCUUUUAUCACAUUGGUGCUCCCUUUAAGCACAGGACAAGUUGUUUUCCAUCCGUGCAGCUGUCUCAGGACCACAUGGAUUUACUGCUAUCAAUGCUUUGCGCUGACCCGAAUAUUUCCAAAAUUUAUGUCACCCUGCCCAGUGCACACUUAGUGCUUAAUUGUCACCGCAGGCACUGCUAAUAUCCAUACCCUGUGACCUGUCUGCAACCCAGGCCAGUCAGUGCUGCUGUGACGUGUGCUGGCAAUGGUGAGCGUCACGGCUGAUGCCUGGCUGUGACAUUAUGUGCCUGUGACAUGUGCAUCAACCUCGGGGUAAGUGAGCUGAUGUAGAAAGCAAUGAAUAAACGUCCUCAGGUUUGAGGAGGGGAUGCUGUCAAAGGCUUUCCAAAAAUAGUUGGUAACUGGCUUUGUAUGAGGCUUAUUCUUGCCUGGGAUGGGCUCUCAGAAGCGUCAAAUCUGCACAUUCCUCCCUGAGUGCAUCCCUGUGCCCCAGGACCACGCUCCCCAAACACAGCACUGUGGCUCUGGGCUGUGUGUGCCCAGCAGAACAUCACUGUCCCCUGCUGUCUGGGGACAGCUGGCAGGGUUCAGGACAGGAACACAAACCCUAGGUGUGUGCUAUGCCUUGCUUGGCUGUGUCACCAGCACAAAUCCAUCUCGGACCCUCUGGGUGCCCCAGGUAAACCCAUCCCCUCCUCUCCCAACCUCAGGCUCCAGGUGAGGGGUUCCCUCUGCAGGCUCCCGUGUGAGAGCUCGCAUGGAUCUGUGAGCGCAUGCAAAGGGAAGCCUUGAGAGCUACAACUCACCCAAACCGUCACGAUUCCAUUUAUUUUUACAUUAAAUGUUUCUGCUUUAUGAAAGGAAUAAAAGAACUGCAACAACCACAAUGAAAUAAGAGAGCGAAUGCCCAGAGGUAACUACAGUAUAAAAUCAUAUUCAUCAUAUCAUAAUAUUUUACAUUUGCUUGUUGUUUUACGUGGAUUACAGCCCCCUCAACACACGAUCCAACAGCAGCAGGAGAGGAAGGGCAGCAAGAAUGAGUCCCUGGCUCACAGGGCACGAGCUGAGGGCACCGUCCCCUUCAGGGCCUGACAGUGCCAUCCAGCAUGGCUGCUGGGUGGCCUUUGAGCAACCUGGGCUCAAGGGAGGUGUCCCUGCCUAUAGCAGGAGGGUUGGAACUGGAAGACCUUAAGGGUCCCUUCCAACCCAAACCUUUCUACAAUUCUAUUAAGGGAGUCCCCAAGCCACGUGGGAUGGGAGCAUUACUCAUCUCCUGAAAGGCUUCAGACCAAGAUUAAAUGCCUUCCCGGAGCUACCUUCUAAUAACAUGUGCUUGAUGAGGUGCAGAGGAGAGUUUGGACUGCACCCACCAACCUCUCACACCGGAGCUCAGCAGUUGCUGACUUCCAAGCAGCUCCCAAAGGCAUCUUCUUCCAAAAGAACUGCUAACCCCCUAACUUGGGUGAGAGCAUGGGAUGCGUUUGGGAGCAAUAGGGCCUUUGUUGUUGUUGUUUUUUUCCUGUUUGUUUGCUUCUGGCAAAGAAGGGAAUAACUGAAGCAGACCUUGCUUCUCAGUCCUGAGCUGUGACAGUGCCUGUGGAGGCAGUUUGGUGUUUGCAGGACAGUGCAUUCACCUGAAGUUCAAGACAGCAGCUUCUGCUGAUGGCAGGCUGCGUGUCUUUUCCUGCAUAAAAUCCAACAUGACAUUUACUACCCUUCUUACAAUGCUUUUAAAUAUCUUUCCAGAUGCUUCCAAAGAACAAUUUUAAAUUAUCCAUAUGCCAUUUGUCACAUGUGCUGUACAGACAGUGCACCAUUUCUGUGCUCUGUAGCGCAGGGCAGAGCGACACUUCGUGGGUUUUGUUUGUUUGAAAUGAGUCUGCAUGGCAAAGAAAUCUGCUGCGUGUGAUGCCAUCGUGCCAUUUCUACAGUGAGAGCUUUUGCCAUGGCAGUUUGCAAACAGGGUGCGAGCAUUAAGUAAUUAUUAGAGCCUUCAUAGAAUCAUAGAAGGGCCUGGGUUGGAAAGGACCUCAAUGCUCAUCCAGUUCCAACCCCCUGCUAUGUGCAGGGUCACCAACCAGCAGCCCAGGCUGCCCAGAGCCACAUCCACCCUGGGCUUGAAUGCCUGCAGGGAUGGGGCAUCCACAGCCUCCUUGGGCAACCUGUUCCAGCCUUCCUGCUGUGUAAGCAUGCAUGUAAAACUGGAACACAAACUGCAACCCAGAAUGAGAUAAGUAAUUCUCCAGUCCCAUCCAAUGAGCUCUCAACAGAAUUAAACCUCGAUAUGUUUUCCUGCAGGAUGCUGUGGGCUGCUCCUCCUCCCCAUCCCACAAACGCACACUUGUCAGAGACAAUAACAAUGCUUCCUUCCCCUUCUCCUUUCUCUUCUCCUUUCCUUUCCCUUCCCCACCGCCUUUCUCUUCCUUCCAUUUUCCAUCUCUCAAUUCACAUCUCUCUCCCUGUUUGCUUUGUGUAGCUCUGCAUCACCCUACCACGUGAGCCCACUACUUCCCAAGCCCUCACACUCCCAAUCAAACUACUGCAGACCCAGACCUCCCCUCCUGGUCCUGUUGAGCGCUCAUUGCUCGGGAUGGUGACUCUUCAAUGUGGGCACAUUUAGCACAGCUCUGUUUCUUUUUUUAUAUCACCAAACUACAAAGACAAGGUUUCAUUACCUGCGUGUUCACAGCACAGUGAAGCAUUUACCUAAAAGGAGCAGGGUGCUCAGAGGGAAUGAGGGAAUGGUGCUGACACAGAGCACAAAUGAGCUCUGCUCGGUUUGCUGCCUCCUUUAACUCACCAAUACCUGGCAGCAGAGCUGGCUCCCCUGCACUUUCCUAGGAGAACUAAUCCAGCAAUUAGACCAUUCUUAAGGACAGAAAGGAAAUGACAUGUCAUGGAAGAGAAGAGGCGAGUUUGGAUUUGAUACCUGGCUUUGUGCUUGGGGCUGAUGGAGGCAUCUCCACGUGUCCCUCUGUGGACACACUGAUGGACUGCAGUGUGCCAUGGGUUUUGGCUCUUCCCCUGCCUUGCAAAGUUGCAGCGGGGCUUUGCAGAGCUAUUUUAAAUGCACUAAUUGCUUCUGGUGCUCUCCGCUCUGUGAAAACAAAUGUGCUUCAGCUGCCAAACCUCCUGGGUCACGUCCCUGUCUGGAGACCAACAGGAAACACAGCUUUUCACCCGUGGUGCCCCAGGCAUCACCCCAGCUGCUGGCUGCCCUUGUCCCCUGCCCAGUAGGGGCCCUGUGGGGCCACGGAGGGGCGAUUUGGGGACACAGAGUUCAGCACCUCUGCUCAGUAUUGGGGUGACUUAGCUGAAGGACUCCACGCCCUUGUUCAGGGGACAUCGGAUUUGUGUCCCCAGCUGCCCUGUGUGUGAUGGGAAUAGCAGGGCUGAGCUUUGUAGGCAUUCCUCAGUUUGCAGGACCCCAAGUGAUGCUUUAUCCAGAGCCAACCUUGUUCUGGGGACGUCAUUUUGGCAGAUUUUGUACCUUGUGCAUCAUGAAGGGGCUCUGAUGGGACAGCCAAGAGAGGAAAGCCCACACUGAGCAAUCCCAAUUCCCCUAUUUGUGGCGGAGUCGGGGAGAAAAACUGCAUUUCCUGACUUCAAGCUGCUUUUUUCCAUCCAAAUUGAACUCGACGCCCACGCCCUUCCCAAAGCAAGCUGACCAAGAUGGAUGGGCACACAAAACCUUUACCUCCAGCAGCAGCCAGCCCACUGCUGGCCGAUUGCUUUGUGGCCAGACUGCUGCUCUGCAAAGCCCACAGCCACUGGGAUGGAUUGCAGCCCUUCAUCUUUCGAGGCACAGCCCAUAUUUCAUCAGCCCUCUCCUGCCAUCCGGCCAUGGGAGCACAACGUGGGGUGGGUGCUGGCUGCCCACUGGUGUUUUAAUCGUGUGUCAAGAGUGGGCACAGGCAUAGGAGGGAAGCAAAUAAAGCAGACGAAAUGAGAUGCGGUAAUUAAGUUAUUCUUCAUCUUGGAGAUUGCUGUGGAGGACAAGAUUGGUACAAUGAGCCCGAGGCGCUUCUCCUUUCACUCCUCUCCAUCUCAAUGCCUGUGACACGGAAGAUGAAUAUGCAGCAUUUUCUAUUUGUGCUACUAAAACGCCCAUUAAAUGCCAGCAGGGAAAAAACGAUACACAAACGCCAGAAUUCUGCUACACUGUGUGCCUGAGAGAGACAGAGGGAGCAUCCCUCCUUUGUCUGGAGAGAGGGAGACGCUUUGGGCUGGGGGAGGGGGUGGCGAUGGGCACAGGGUCCUGAGCCUGGCAUCUCCUGCUCUGCCAAUGGAAUCAUAUUAAUGACAUUUUCAUGUAGCCGAAUGCCAUUUUCCAAUCGGGAGAUGCUGGUAAGGGAUUUACCUUUAUUUUUAAUGCCCUGUUGCAUGACCACAAGCAAGGGCUACAGGUCUCCAUGGCCAGAGCUCAGGCAGUAUUUAGCUGGAGAGCAGCAAACUGUGCCCGCCGGUCCACACUCUGUUUACACCCCUGCAGAAGGCUCCCCAUGAUGGGGUGGGAUACUGGCAGGGCACAGCAGGCCCAGUAAAUGUGUGGUGCUCCCAUGCCAGAAUUCCAGGUGACAAGCGGAG